rnacentral:rRNA from 1 species
GACGAACGCUGGCGGCGUGCUUAACACAUGCAAGUCGAACGGAAAGGCCUCUUUCGGGUGGUACUCUCGUGUCGCACGGGUGAGUAACACAUGAGUAACCUGCCCUUUUCUUUGUGAUAACUUCUGAGAACUGUGGCUCAUACCCCAUAUAAGCUCCUCCUGCACGUUGGGGGUUGUAGAGUUUCUGCGGUUGGGGGUGGACUCGCGGCUUAUCUGCUUGUUGGGGGGGUAGUGGCUUACCAAGGCUUUGACGGGGAGCCGGGCUGAGAGGGUGACCGGCCAAAAUGGGACUGGGAGAAGGCCCAGACGCCUACGGGAGGCAGCAGUGGGGAAGAAUGCACAAUGGGUGGAAGCCGGAUGCAGGAACGCCGUGGGCGGGAUGACGGCCUUCGGGUUGGAAAACGGUUUCGCUCAUGACGAAGCUUUGUGUGACGGUAGUGGGUAAAGAAGCACCGGCUAACUACGUG